UUCGGCCUUAGUGGCGCACGGGUGAGUAACGCGUGGGAACCGGCCCUUGAGUGGGGGAUAACCUCGGGAAACUGAGGCUAAUACCGCAUAUGCCCUGAGGGGCAAAGACGCAAGUCGCUUGAGGAAGGGCCCGCGCCCGAUUAGGUAGUUGGUGUGGUAAAGGCGCACCAAGCCGACGAUCGGUAGCUGGUCUGAGAGGAUGAUCAGCCACACUGGGACUGAGACACGGCCCAGACUCCUACGGGAGGCAGCAGUGGGGAAUAUUGGACAAUGGGCGCAAGCCUGAUCCAGCCAUGCCGCGUGAGUGAAGAAGGCCUUCGGGUUGUAAAGCUCUUUCAGCGGGGACGAUGAUGACGGUACCCGCAGAAGAAGCCCCGGCUAACUUCGUGCCAGCAGCCGCGGUAAUACGAAGGGGGCUAGCGUUGU
rnacentral:rRNA from 1 species